GACGAACGCUGGCGGCGUGCUUAACACAUGCAAGUCGAGCGGAAAGGCCCUUUCGGGGGUACUCGAGCGGCGAACGGGUGAGUAACACGUGAGUAAUCUGCCCUGUGCUCUGGGAUAGCCACCGGAAACGGUGAUUAAUACCGGAUAUGACUGCUGCUCGCAUGGGUGGUGGUGGAAAGUUUUUUCGGCGCAGGAUGUGCUCGCGGCCUAUCAGCUUGUUGGUGAGGUAAUGGCUCACCAAGGCUAUGACGGGUAGCCGGCCUGAGAGGGUGCCCGGCCAGACUGGGACUGAGACACGGCCCAGACUCCUGCGGGAGGCAGCAGUGGGGAAUAUUGGACAAUGGGCGGAAGCCUGAUCCAGCAACGCCGCGUGAGGGAUGACGGCCUUCGGGUUGUAAACCUCUUUCAGUACCGACGAAGCGCAAGUGACGGUAGGUACAGAAGAAGGACCGGCCAACUACGUGCCAGCCGCCGCGGUAAUAC
rnacentral:rRNA from 1 species